AACUCUCAACCCCACUAUUUUGUAAUGAAAUAGGUCGCGGGCUUGGUUUAUGGUUGUUGCUGGCUUUACCGUCAGCUCGACUGAAAUAUACGAGCUACCCAAUUCAACUUUGAAUUAGACGGUUUGACUCGGCGUAAUAAUCUAUUUCGCUGAGGACGUCUUCAUCAAAUUUAAUGAUAGUGGUGCUUCUAACGCAUUAGCAAUUUAAGC
rnacentral:misc_RNA from 1 species